AUACGUAGGUGGCAAGCGUUGUCCGGAAUCACUGGGCGUAAAGCGCGCGUAGGCCGCCUUCUAAGUCGGACGUGAAAGCCCUCGGCUCAACCGUGGAGGGUCAUUGGAAACUGGGGAACUUGAGUGCAGAAGAGGAAAGUGGAAUUCCAAGUGUAGCGGUGAAAUGCGUAGAGAUUUGGAGGAACACCAGUGGCGAAGGCGACUUUCUGGUCUGUAACUGACACUGAGGCGCGAAAGCGUGGGGAGC
rnacentral:rRNA from 1 species